CUAAGUCUGUCUGUUGCUCCCCAGAAAUAUAUCUAGAGUGAGCUGCAGUCGUAUUGGUCUGGAAUCUCGGAUCUGGCAUUGAUCUGACAUCAGCUGGUCAGAGAUGGCUGGCUCUGGCAUUGCUCUCAGGCUGCAUGAAUUCAGAGAGUCUCAGGACCCCAAAGAACCUGACUGGACAGUAUUUUCAACAAAAAAGAUGUCUCGUCUGGGAAGAGACGCACAGGGUCUGUAUCCAGGCCAGCUGGCAAGAGUCUAUAGCAUACACUCUAAAGACUGUGGCACCGAAAGAUUCAACUCUCUUCGUCAGCCUCCUGAGUCUCCAGACCUUCAGCCAAGUUUUGAUAUUCAAACCCUGAGAACUCUGAGUCUCCUUCGUCACGAUGCUGAAGCACGGAACCACCGCUGCCUUCAGACGACUUACCAGCAGCACUUUGGAUAGCAAUCUCUUUUCUUUCCUAAAUCAUAGUAAUGUUAUCCCUCUGAAUGGGACCCUCAGAAAAUACAAAAUUUAGGAAUAUAUUCCUACCUUGAUUAUUUUUGCUUUAUGUGAGCGUGAUAAAUUUAGUUCAUAACUCAUAACUAUUAACUGGAAAUUUCUGCAAAAUGUUCCUUUCCUUUAUGCGCAUGUGCAGUGUGCUCGUAUGACCACCAGAGGGAGCAAUAUUUUGUAUUGUCCAUCUCAGAAGGAAAUAAUGCCUGCAGGUGAAGUUGUUUCCUCUUAAAAAUGUGAUUAUAUAGAGUGUAUCCUUUCUUAUCACUGUGCUUUAAUUUAUUCGAGAUAGAUUUGGGUUAAUUGUGCAAAUAUAUGCAAGUUAAUGGUAUGUCACAAUAAAGAGAGCUGAUAAUGCUUUAAUGUUGUUCUGUGUUUCAAUCAACUAAAUAAAAAGGUGCUGUUUCAGUGUUGCAGGACUUUUUUUCAACACACAUGUGACAUUUAUGCUUUGCAUUUAAUUGCUGGUAAUAAUGUC